rnacentral:rRNA from 1 species
UGGGGAAUAUUGGGCAAUGGGCGAAAGCCUGACCCAGCAACGCCGCGUGAGGGAAGAAGGUUUUCGGAUCGUAAACCUCUGUCCUUGGUGAAGAGAAGAAGACGGUAGCCAAGGAGGAAGCCCCGGCUAACUACGUGCCAGCAGCCGCGGUAAUACGUAGGGGGCGAGCGUUGUCCGGAAUGAUUGGGCGUAAAGGGCGCGUAGGCGGCCUGUUAAGUCUGGAGUGAAAGUCCUGCUUUCAAGGUGGGAACUGCUUUGGAAACUGGUAGGCUGGAGUGCAGGAGAGGUUAGCGGAAUUCCCGGUGUAGCGGUGAAAUGCGUAGAGAUCGGGAGGAACACCAGUGGCGAAGGCGGCUAACUGGACUGUAACUGACGCUGAGGCGCGAAAGUGUGGGGAGCAAACAGGAUUAGAUACCCUGGUAGUCCACACUGUAAACGAUGAAUGCUAGGUGUAGGGGGUAUCGACCCCUUCUGUGCCGGGGUAAACACAAUAAGCAUUCCGCCUGGGGAGUACGGCCGCAAGGUUG